rfam:Postia placenta Mad-698-R POSPLscaffold_106_Cont4845, whole genome shotgun sequence.
AUAUGAUGAACUUCAGAUGACGAGUCUGAACUGUCGUGGCGAGGCUUCCUCGUCAUGGCUUUCCUUGACGACAUCCAAAUUUUAUACCAUUCAUGCUUUACUGAUU